AUCAUGACACUGUGAGAUGGGAAAAGGAUGAGCUCCCCCUCCCCCCUAGCCUAGCUAUUUAUUAGGGAUGGUGUGUACAAUGCUGUGAACAUAUAAAGCAUUCUAAAAAAGGCUCUUCCCCUUGGAUUCAGAUGAAAUUUGGAAGUAUAAAUUACAGGGUGUGCCUCUAGGACUAAGCACAAUGUACAUACUGAAGACAGUGAAAGCAGUUGCAAGAAAAAACAUGUUGCAACAGUGUCUGAAUUUGGCUCACUAAUAUAUGCACAGGUGCACAUGCAUGCAGACAUACACAAUUGGUCCUUUUGGUAACUUUUACAUUAAAAGUCCUAACAGCUUUUCAGAAUGGUGAAAUACAAAGUUCUUUGUAUUUUUCUACUUGUGAAUCUCAAAGUAUUUUUCUAAUUACUGCAGUCUGAAUUUGGUAUGCACGUUUAAACUUAAUUUUCCACAUUUCUUAGUUGGGGUAAAGUUUUCUCUUUUCUCUAUUGUUAUUCGUCUCUUCAUUCUCAGUUGCUUGACGUAGUAUUUCUGUGUGUAUUAUUUUCUCUUUCCUCCAUUACUUUCCUACCUUUCCUAUGGUUUGCGUUUCACAUCUACUUACUUCCUUGUCCCUUUAUUAUAUUCUUUCUCCACAAUGUCUUCUGAAUGACACACAUUUAGGAUGCUGCCUAAAGCAAUUCAACAAGCAUACCAACUGCUGAUGUUGUAAAAUAUCAAAAUAUACAGGAGAGGAUUUGUGAAUAACUUUUAUUGAACCUACUACAUGCCAGUCCAAUAAAAGAUUUCACCCAUAUAAAUCAUUGUCUCUUGCAUAUUAUCUGGAUCAUAACAGCUACAACAUCACUUCAACUACCAAUAUUAAAUGUAUAUGUUUAGUAUUAUUGGUUAGCCCAAGUUAAAUUUAGAAAUUUACCUCAGAAAUGAAUUUAGCAUUCCAAAAACAUCUUAACUGGGUAUGAUCUAUUGUAAAAAAAGAAUACAAGGAAAACAUCCUUACCCUUAUGCUUAUAAAUCCUUGUACACAAUAAUGAGGUAGCAAGCAUUUAGCACGCCAGUGGUUGAAAGCUCUGUGCAAUAUUUGUAGGUUUUGUUUUGUUUUUUUACCGAUUGUUAAAGCACGGUAGAUUGACUGGCUAACAUUUCUCUUCUGAUGUUAUGCAACUCUGAUAAGUACACAGGUGAUGAAGCAAGACAUUCAGAGAUACUUUAAAAAAAUAUCAGGACAGGGAUUAACAUGUAUUGUGGAAGGGCAGUAAUAUACUAAACCACAAGAAAACUGGGAAUAAAAGAUAGCCCAGUAGCUGCCUUGAGGGAAUCCCUUCAGCAUGAAAGUGAAGAGUUUAGGAGUAAAAGAGAGGGUUUUUCCAAGUUUCCUCAGUCCAGAAGGUUUCCAUUAGAGAUCUGUUUGUUCGCUAAUAAUUAAAAAUGUUGUUGCAAUAUUCAAUGCAUAUUUCACCAUUAAAGUAGCAGUUGUUUUGACUAGGAGACAGCAAGGUAGGCAGACAUCAUCAUCCUGGUUCAUUGGGCUGAAAACAACUCAUAGAAAUUAGAGGAUUUAAUUAGGGAAUAUGACAAAAUGGUCAAAUGGGGAGAGGGAGAAAGGAAUGUAAUGCUUUUAAAUGUCGUGUUCAAGAUCAAAGUUUCUGUUCCAACCAAAAAUAGGUAGAACUUGCUAUUCCUCUCUGUAGGCAGCUAAUACAAGCCAGUAUAAGCUCCUUGCUCACACAAAACAGAUUUGCUUCAGAAAGUCUGAGUAUUACCAGAUCUUGAUCUCAUACGCAGGAUGGCAGACUGAUGCACAUGACAAUAGUAUCAGCAGAGCAAGUGUCUUGUUUCAGCCUUUAGGUCCCCUCAACUGUAGGGCCAGCCACAUUACAAUGUAAAUUGCCACAUUCAUUCCCUGUUACAUAUUUUGCAGUCUAUGGAGCCACAAACAAAGCAACUACAGAGCUGAACAGGGCUGCUGACAUAAGUAUUAAGACAGUCAUGUCCAUUCACCCAAGUAUGAUUCAGACUUAAGAAGGGGGGCAGAGAGGGACAGGGGGAGGGCAGGGGAAUGAAUGAUAGUGUUCACUCUGCUCCAGAUCUCACUUAAUGGUUUGCAGCAUCCCAUGGCAAGAUACUCAGUACAUUUGUUAUUCUGAAAACAGUAUCACUUGGAAACACUUGUGUUAUUCUCUCAUUUCAGUUUUGAUGGACUUCUUAUUAAAAAUGAUACAGGUAUCAUUGCAAAGAUUACCAUUAAUCGAAAUUCCCUCAUCACUAAGACUGUAAAAGUUGAAAAAACUUGCUGAAGAAGCCUAUAAACUCUAUUCAUGUGUGUCAUUGUUUGCUUCCCUGGAUAUAUUUUCUAGCAGUGUAGGAGCCAGCAAUCUUUUAAAAAGAAAACAGAUGAAUGCAAGACAUUUUUCAAAACCUUGUCCAACUUUAUUCCAAACAUGCAGUUGGUUCAAUAAGAUAUUACCCCCAAAACAUCCUUGCUUCUCACAUAAUUUCUGGACCAUCACAGCUACAACUGUGAUCAGUCUAACACUACCACGAAAGAAAACAUCCAGCACAAAUAAAAUCCAGUUAUCUAUGCACAGAUAGGAUCUCUUCUCCAAACCACAGUGCUCAUCUCCUCUUGCUCCAAACUUUGGUUCCUCCCUUUCUCCACCCCCCUCUCCCCUGGAACAGCCAGACACAAUAAGAGAAAGGAGGAGUCCAUUUACUCAAUACUUUGACUUGUUUAUUAAAAAGUCACAUCGUUGAGUCUGACUUUUUAAAUGACCUCAUUUUUUGACAAAUUGCAUAAUUAAAGGAAUAUUCAAAACUAAUUAGUUGGAAGCUUUAAAAAAAAA